rnacentral:rRNA from 1 species
ACGACGCUACGCAGGCUAAUACACUGCAAGUCGAACGGUGCCUUCGGGCAUAGUGGCGCACGGGUGCGUAACACGUAUGCAACCUACCUUACAUUGGGGGAUAGCCUUUCGAAAGGGAGAUUAAUACCGCAUAACACAGUGAGUUGGCAUCAGCUUAUUGUUAAAGAUUUAUCGAUGUAAGAUGGGCAUGCGUCCAAUUAGUUAGUUGGCGAGGUAACGGCUCACCAAGACGAUGAUUGGUAGGGGAACUGAGAGGUCAAUCCCCCACACUGGCACUGAGAUACGGGCCAGACUCCUACGGGAGGCAGCAGUAGGGAAUAUUGGGCAAUGGACGCAAGUCUGACCCAGCCAUGCCGCGUGCAGGAAGACGGCCCUCUGGGUUGUAAACUGCUUUUAUAUAGGAAGAAAGAAUCCUUGCGAGGAUAGUUGACGGUACUAUAAGAAUAAGCACCGGCUAACUCCGUGCCAGCAGCCGCGGUAAUACGGAGGGUGCAAGCGUUGUCCGGAUUUAUUGG